GCCCCGGUAGCUCAGUUGGUAGAGCGGCGGCCUUGUAAGCCGCAGGCCGCGGGUUCAAAGCCCGCCCGGGGCUCCA
rnacentral:tRNA from 1 species